rnacentral:lncRNA from 1 species
GCGGUCUUCGAUGGCGUGGUCGCUGGGGCAAUUGGGCGGCGUCUCCCUAGGUCUUGGGCGGUGUUGUUGCUGGUGAUCGCGGCGGCUCUCCAGUGCAUGGGUUGGUAUGUGACUGCAUCUCCGCUGUUUGGAUUGAAGUUUGGUUGGGUGUGAGUGCACGGGAUGAGGUGAGCAACCCCAAAUCUAGCGAUUUCCGUUCUAAAAUUCCAAUUAUAUCCCACUUACGUUUCCCUUCGUCAUUCUCUUUCCAAAUUGUUUUUUGUGCAUUUGAGCGUUCCGAUCUGCUCGCUCCGGUGCCCCGCGAGGUCCCAAUUUGACUACAAGCCGGUGGAUGGUUCUCCCGAUGGUGGAAUUGAAGGGGCCCCAAUGGAUAAGGACGUGACAGGCAAGCUGGAGGCCACCACUACCAGCGUCCUCAAGCUCUACCACUAAUCAUUUAUCUAGCACACAUCACCACCUGGGUUAUGUGGGUAUGUCCUAAAAAUAUGUAGUCAACCUUGCCAGCUCUAAUAAUUUUUAUUUGCUUCAAUCCCCAAUCUGGUUCGUAGCAGACAUACAGUUAGUAGAAUCUUGCCUCCUGGUUGUAGAAUUUUUGGUUGAUUCGUUGGCUGCUUCAUAUUGUUAAACCAUGAAAUAAUUCCUGAUCCUUCGUGGACUGAAUUAUUGGAUUCUUUUCCCCCUUCCUGUCGUGCAUACAUCACCAUUUGUUUCUGAAACCAAGUCAGAUUUGCCGGAUUUCUAAUUUUCAGAGAUUGCAGAUAGUUAUUUCAAGUUUAAAAAUUGGUUGUAAUUUUGGUUCAUCAGUUGUACCAUAUGCAAAUACACAUCUAUGAUUCAUGAAAGUUUUUGUUCUGUCAAUCAGGGUCAUACUCCCUGCAACUAGUAGCUGCUCUAAACAUUGUUGUAAUGUUACUACUUAAUACUUAAUAAUGAUUGUGGAGGUGCUGCUAACAUUUCCUACUGCAACAACAACAGAGGUAAAAAAUUAUGUGUGGGCUUCAAUGAUGUAAUUGAUUUCUAUUUACAAUGCGUUAGUGUUUCCUAUCAUCUAGCUUCGGAUUUAAAGUAAAUAUAUAUACUUCCUGUUGGAGUUGAAGUAAGUAUCUCACGUUUGAGCUGCUUGUGUGCCAUUUUUUUUUACCUCGGCCCUUAUUUUAAUCUCAGCUGCAGUUAGUGGCAACAAGCACCCACGACGCCCCUAUUUUAUUUACCUGGGCCACUAGUAUAAUUUCAGCUCUAUUUGGUCUUUGGAAAUGGUAUAUCUGGAAAUAAAGAACUAUGCGUGUCAUUCUAUCAUUCUGCAAAUUAGUCAAUUUUGUAGUUUCUUUCUUUUCCUCAGUGAUAUGCCAAUAUGUUUCAGCUCAGCGCAUGGAGUAAUUAGAUGGUCCUUCUCCUGUGAUUUACUAGAUUGUCAGCAAUGAUUCAAAGGUCAGUUCCUUUAGACAUAGAUGCGGAAUAAAGCAUCAACCUAUUUAAUAAUGUAUCCAUCCAUCUUGCAACAGGUAGCGUAACAAGCAUAAGUAGAUACCGACCCAGACAAAGAAACCCACUAAAGAGAUGGCAGUAGUCUUGGUGAGCGCUCUGAAUCUACAAAUUCCUUGAUCCAUUUUUUUUUGUUGAGAAAACGCAAAAGACUUUUACGUUUCAUUGCAUUGAAAAGAAGAAGUUUGGUACAACCCUCCUAGGAGGCGAGUUUACAAGAUGAGUACAGGCACACUAGUGGGCAUCCCAAGUCUGAGGCAGGAUGGCGCGGAGUCCUAAAGCACCCGCUCUGCCCAUCGGUUACUUCCCUGAUCGCUAGGAUUUUGAUCCAUUUUUACAUUAUGCAAGCAUAAUAGAAGAGAUAAAAUGUAGACACUUUUAGGCACAUACCCCAAAUAUGCCUGACAUUAGAUCCAGAUCAGUAAAUUAACAGUAUGCCAACUACACAUAGCAUUUCAGACGAAAAAAAUGUAGACACAAAAUGGGAGCAUAGUAGCCAGACACUUUGAACUUCAAAUAUUAUAAAAUCCUAUAUAAAAAGGUAAAUUUCUGACUGAUGCUUGCGCAAUUUCUGUUAUCUUCUAGUUUAAUUCUCUGUAUGUAUAUGCUAGUAUGUAUAAGUAAAAAUAUGCAUGUGUUUGUUUUCCUCAGGGAAGAGCAUUCCUCUAUUUAUUUUAUCAUCUAAUUUAAUUCUCUUUAUGUAUACAUGUUAUAAGUAAAAAAUCUGCAUGCGUGCUUUUCUCUAGCAAAGAGCAUUGUUCUAUUUUUCUCGGACCAUCAUGUCUCAUUCACUGGGUUGUUGGUAAGAAUAUAUCCAUGUUUUAAUGUUUUUCUGACUACAGUCUAUUGUUGUAAAAUCUGUCAUUAAGCUUCAGCAGUUCACUCUUGCAAGAUUCUUUCAAGUGCGGUCGCCUGAGAUUACCCCAUUGGCUUUGACUAAGACUUCCAAUUAAUUGUUAGGUUGCUUAUCCUGAAGUUCAUGAUCCUGCAUGCGAGCAAAGGAUGUGAUAAGCGCAGUUUUGUCUCUGUAGUUUUGUCUCUAUAGUUUUGUAGACUUCAUUCAUCAUGACGAUUUUAUGGAGUCUGAACAAUGUGUAGCUGCAAUGGAGGUUCCAGGAAGACUUCAAGAUGCUAGGCAUCAACCAUUUUGAGGUCGUUUUAGCAAGACAUGAUGUUUCAGUGCAUAUAGUGCAGUGUAACAUAUCAAGUCAGUUUGUUUCUGUAAUUAUACGGCCUUGUCCAUAUGUUUUACCCCAACCAUCAGUAUUUUGCAUGAUGCCCUAGGUAAUUUGUGUUCAGAAAAUUUACAUUGUGUAUCUG